UACAGAGGGUGCAAGCGUUAAUCGGAAUUACUGGGCGUAAAGCGCACGUAGGCGGAUUUGUAAGUCAGGGGUGAAAUCCCGGGGCUCAACCCCGGAACUGCCUUUGAUACUGCGAAUCUCGAGUCCGGAAGAGGUGAGUGGAAUUCCUAGUGUAGAGGUGAAAUUCGUAGAUAUUAGGAAGAACACCAGUGGCAAAGGCGGCUCACUGGUCCGGUACUGACGCUGAGGUGCGAAAGCGUGGGGAGCAAACAGG
rnacentral:rRNA from 1 species